rnacentral:ncRNA from 1 species
AAAAGACUUAGUCCUAACCUUACCGUUAGCCCUUGCUAGACAUAUACAUGCAAGUAUCUGCAUCCCAGUGUAAAUGCCCCCAACCCCUUAUUAAGGAAAAAGGAGCAGGUAUCAGGCACACACCCCCUAUCUCCACCGUAGCCCAAGACACCUUGCGCAGCCACACCCCCACGGGUACUCAGCAGUAAUUAACAUUAAGCAAUAAGUGCAAACUUGACUUAGUCAUAGCAACAAUCAGGGUUGGUAAAUCUUGUGCCAGCCACCGCGGUCACACAAGAAACCCAAGUUAACUGUAUACGGCGUAAAGAGUGGCCCCGUCAUAUCACUACAACUAGGACUAAAAUGUAGCUAAGCUGUCAUAAGCUAAAGGUACAUAGAAAACCACCCUUAACACGAUCCUAGCGCCCGCGAUCUACCCCCACCCACGAAAGCUAGGGCACAAACUGGGAUUAGAUACCCCACUAUGCCUAGCCCUAAAUCUCGAUACUUACCCCACCAAAGUAUCCGCCCGAGAAUUACGAGCACAAACGCUUAAAACUCUAAGGACUUGGCGGUGCCCUAAACCCACCUAGAGGAGCCUGUCCUGUAAUCGAUAACCCACGAUUCACCCAACCGUUUCUAGCCAGAGCAGCCUACAUACCGCCGUCGCCAGCCCACCUCCCCUGAGAGCACAACAGUGGGCACAAUAGCAUCUAACCGCUAGCAAGACAGGUCGAGGUAUAGCCCAUGAGACGGAAGAGAUGGGCUACAUUUUCUAACUUAGAAAACUCCAACGGAUGAGGGCAUGAAACUGCCCUCGGAAGGCGGAUUUAGCAGUAAGGCGGGACAAUAAAGCCCCCCUUAAGCUGGCUCUGGGGCACGUACAUACCGCCCGUCACCCUCUUCACAAGCUUAUCACCUUCAUAACUAAUACCCCCUCUAGCUGAAGAUGAGGUAAGUCGUAACAAGGUAAGUGUACCGGAAGGUGCACUUAGAACACC